CAGCAGCCGCGGUAAUACGAAGGGUGCAAGCGUUAAUCGGAAUUACUGGGCGUAAAGCGUGCGUAGGCGGUUUCUUAAGUCUGCUGUGAAAUCCCCGGGCUCAACCUGGGAAUGGCAGUGGAUACUGGGAAGCUAGAGCGUGUCAGAGGAUGGUGGAAUUCCCGGUGUAGCGGUGAAAUGCGUAGAGAUCGGGAGGAACAUCAGUGGCGAAGGCGGCCAUCUGGGACAACACUGACGCUGAGGCACGAAAGCGUGGGGAGCAAACAGGAUUAGAUACCCCUGUAGUCCCUGUCUCUUAUAC
rnacentral:rRNA from 1 species